AUUGAACGCUGGCGGCAGGCCUAACACAUGCAAGUCGAACGAGCGGCGGACGGGUGAGUAAUGUCUGGGAAACUGCCCGAUGGCGGGGGAUAACUACUGGAAACGGUAGCUCAUACCGCAUACCAUCGGAUGUGCCCAGAUGGGAUUAGCUAGUAGGUGGGGUAACGGCUCACCUAGGCGACGAUCCCUCGCUGGUCUGAGAGGAUGACCAGCCACCCUGUAACUGAGACCCGGUCCAUACUCCUACGGGAGGCAGCAGGUGGGAAGAUGGCACAAUGGGCGCAAGCCUGAUGCAGCCAGGCCGAGUGUAUGAAGGAGGCCUUCGGGUUGUAAAGUCCUUUCAGCGAGGAGGCGUUACUCGCAGAAGAAGCACCGGCUAACUCCGUGCCAGCAGCCGCGGUAAUUC
rnacentral:rRNA from 1 species